CAGUUGUUCCGCCAGGAGCACCGCUGGGUAGCUAUGUACGGAAGGGAUAAGCGCUGAAAGCAUCUAAGCGUGAAGCCCCCCUCAAGAUGAGAUUUCCCAAUUAGUAAGACCCCUUGAAGACGACGAGGUAGAUAGGUUGGGGGUGGAAGUGCAGUAAUGCAUGGAGCUGACCAAUACUAAUCGGUCGAGGGCUUAUCCUAA
rnacentral:rRNA from 1 species